rnacentral:misc_RNA from 1 species
UAACCACUCAAGCCUUUGCUUGGUAUUGGGGUUCGCGGUUUCGCGGCUCCUAAAAUCAGUGGCGGUGCCUGUCGGCUCUACGCGUAGUAAUACUCCUCGCGUCUGGGUCCGGUAGGUGACUUGCCAGCAACCCCCAAAUUUUUACA